AGUGAACGCUGGCGGUAGGCCUAACACAUGCAAGUCGAACGGCAGCACAGUAAGAGCUUGCUCUUACGGGUGGCGAGUGGCGGACGGGUGAGGAAUACAUCGGAAUCUACUUUUUCGGGGGGGAUAACGUAGGGAAACUUACGCUAAUACCGCAUACGACCUACGGGUGAAAGCAGGGGAACUUCGGACCUUGCGCGAUUGAAUGAGCCGAUGUCGGAUUAGCUAGUUGGCGGGGGAAAGGCCCACCAAGGCGACGAUCCGUAGCUGGUCUGAGAGGAUGAUCCGCCACACUGGAACUGAGACACGGUCCAGACUCCUACGGGAGGCAGCAGUGGGGAAUAUUGGACAAUGGGCGCAAGCCUGGUCCAGCCAUCCCGCGUGGGUGAAGAAGGCCUUCGGGUUGUAAAGCCCUUUUGUUGGGAAAGAAAAUCAGCAGGUUAAUACCCCGCUGUUUUGACGGUACCCAAAGAAUAAGCACCGGCUAACUUCGUG
rnacentral:rRNA from 1 species